AUCUGUAGCACAAUGGAUAGUGCGUUGGACUUCUAAUGCAAAGGUCAUGAGUUCGAAUCUCAUCUGCGAUG